rnacentral:rRNA from 1 species
UACGUAGGAGACGAGCGUUGUCCGGAGUUACUGGGCGUAAAGGGUGCGCAGGUGGCGGCGCGCGUGGGGGGUGAAAUCGCCCGGCUUAACUGGGCGGGGGCCUUCCAGACGGCGUGGCUCGAGCAGCGGAGGGGGACGUGGAAUUCCGGGUGGAGCGGUGAAAUGCGUAGAUAUCUGGAGGAACACCAGUGGCGAAAGCGGCUUCCUGGCCUGUAACUGACGCUGAGACGCGAAAGCGUGGGGAGCGAACCGG